AGGGAAAGUGGAUCUGGCGCAUUGACCAUCAGAACAUCAACGUCCUGAACACGAAGACAAACCUCAGAAGCAUAUGGGUUUCAAGUAUGCCAAGGUAAUUAUCAACAGUAAAUUUCCGUUAACUUCAUACCCGUAUCCAAUUCCCGAAGACAAUUGCGACUAUCAAGAAGAAAAUCUUGACCUAUAAUGACCUUCCUGCACUGGUCUCGUAGGACGAGGCCACUACGCACUAACAGGUAGAUCCAAGACCUUGCCAACAUUCCCAAAGUCAACCGUGCUUUGGCAUCUACCCUGGCCUUAGCAGCCUGCAAAGCCAACCCCUCGUACAAAGUCAAAAUCAUCAGAAAGGUCGUCCAAAACUAAAGCUUCUUCCACAGGAUUUAGAUUAGAGAUUCUAUUCAUUAGCGACAAACUUCGCGGUAACCCUCCUGAUUCUCCACCUUGCAAUACCUUUACCCUUAUCCUCCUUAGAGAGGCGUCGUAUACUAGAAGUUGAUCCGGUAAGAAACCCUUUUUUCAACCUAAAACCCUUCUUCUGCAUCAUGAGUGCAAACACACAAUAAUCUACAAACCAUCCAAUACCCUAACACUAACAGUUCUCACAAAAAUUCAACAAGGCCCAUAUAAGCACGACAGAACAAACCUCCGAACCUGAUCAAGUUCCAAAGUGCGGCAGAGGAUCUACUGUGCGCCCACCAGUUCUGUUGUACUGGAUUU